UGUUCUUCUUUUCAGCUCUUCAUUCAACGUCCAACAGACAGUAAGUGCAAUAACUCCCUGCAGCUAUUAUGACAUUCUGUGUGAUCUGGCUCCAGUACCUGCUGAUAAGGCUGUCCGAGACUAUUGGCUAGUCUUGAACAUAUAUAAAUGGGAGCAGCUGCUGCAGAUGAGUGCUCCCCCGACUCCUCCCUGAUGUCCUCUGAUAGGCUUCUGGACUGCCUUGUGUCUGGUGCAGGCUGCGCAUCUAAUUGGCUCCCUUCUGUUACUAUGGAGCUGCGUCCUCUCCCGGCUAUGGCUUCCGCUCCCGGGGCUUACAACAGCUCAGCUGGAGCCUCUCUGGCCAUCUCUCCAGACCGCUCAGCUCCUUUCUGCUGCCUUCACUGCAAUGCCGCACGCUGGCACACCCGGAGCCCUCCUGGCCGCUCUCCUCUGUCUGCCAGCAGCACCUCUACCUCCUCCUCCACCGCCCCCCUUCGGGAACGGGUAAUAGAUGCUGCCUAUGAUAUGUCAGUAUCCUGUUUUCUCCUGACUCAGGCUUGAUCUUGUAUACAGCUCUUCAUUCAACGUCCAACAGACAGUAAGUGCAAUAACUCCCUGCAGCUAUUAUGACAUUCUGUGUGAUCUGGCUCCAGUACCUGCUGAUAAGGCUGUCCGAGACUAUUGGCUAGUCUUGAACAUAUAUAAAUGGGAGCAGCUGCUGCAGAUGAGUGCUCCCCCGACUCCUCCCUGAUGUCCUCUGAUAGGCUUCUGGACUGCCUUGUGUCUGGUGCAGGCUGCGCAUCUAAUUGGCUCCCUUCUGUUACUAUGGAGCUGCGUCCUCUCCCGGCUAUGGCUUCCGCUCCCGGGGCUUACAACAGCUCAGCUGGAGCCUCUCUGGCCAUCUCUCCAGACCGCUCAGCUCCUUUCUGCUGCCUUCACUGCAAUGCCGCACGCUGGCACACCCGGAGCCCUCCUGGCCGCUCUCCUCUGUCUGCCAGCAGCACCUCUACCUCCUCCUCCACCGCCCCCCUUCGGGAACGGGUAAGCCUGGUGCUGGUGCAGCUACUCGGUAUCCAGUACUGCCGCUUGUAUGUUUACAGCAUACAGCGCUCUGGAUGACCAAGUGCCCACACUGACCAGGGGAACAGCAGUCUGCUCUAUGCUAACGGGAGCGCCUAUUUAUAUCUUUAUCUGCCCGCUCGCGGACUCCCUCUCUGCACCCGGCACUUUAAACUACCUGCUCGCGGAUUCCCUCUCUGCACCCGGCACUAUUUACCGGCUCGUGGACCCCUCUCACUCUAUGUCUUUCUAUAUUACCGGCACGCGCAGGUCUCCGUCCUUUGCACACGGCCCCCCCUCUUUCUGCACACGGCCCUAUUUACCGGCACGGGGACCUCUCUAGUACAAUGACAACAGCAUUAGCUUAUUGCGCCCUCCCUCUCUUUAAUUAAUUAAAUAUUCUUUUAUUUUUUACAUAACACAACAACAACAAAUUACAUAUUCCUUCCUUUCUAAAUAAUAUAUACAAGUUAAUACAUUCAUAUACCCUAGUUUA